AGAGUUUGAUCCUGGCUCAGAUUGAACGCUGGCGGCGUGCCUUACACAUGCAAGUCGAACGUGAAAGUACUUUCGGGUACGAGUAAAGUGGCGCACGGGUGAGUAACGCGUGGAUAAUCUACCAAGAAGUUUGGGAUAACAGCUGGAAACGGCUGCUAAUACCGAAUACGCUGCAUAUCUAUCUUAUGUGGGAAAGAUGGCCUCUGCAUAUGCUGUUGCUUUUUGAUGAGUCCGCGUACCAUUAGCUGGUUGGUGGGGUAAAGGCCUACCAAGGCGACGAUGGUUAACUGGUCUGAGAGGAUGAUCAGUCACACUGGAACUGGAACACGGUCCAGACUCCUACGGGAGGCAGCAGUGGGGAAUAUUGCGCAAUGGGCGAAAGCCUGACGCAGCGACGCCGCGUGAGGGAUGAAGGUCUUCGGAUCGUAAACCUCUGUCAGCAGGGAAGAACGGUCACUGUGCUAAUCAGCAGUGAAUUGACGGUACCUGCAAAGGAAGCACCGGCUAACUCCGUGCCAGCAGCCGCGGUAAUACGGAGGGUGCGAGCGUUAAUCGGAAUUACUGGGCGUANAGCGCUCGUAGGUAGUAUGGCAAGUCAAGGGUGAAAUCCCCGCGCUCAACGUGGGAACUGCCUUUUGAACUGCUACACUUGAAUGUGUG
rnacentral:rRNA from 1 species